ACAGCAGUAGCCGCGGUAAUACGAAGGGGGCUAGCGUUGUUCGGAUUUACUGGGCGUAAAGGGCGUGUAGGCGGCCUGGGGCGUCCCAUGUGAAAGGCCACGGCUCAACCGUGGAGGAGCGUGGGAUACGCUCAGGCUAGAGGGUGGGAGAGGGUGGUGGAAUUCCUGGAGUAGCGGUGAAAUGCGCAGAUACCGGGAGGAACGCCGAUGGCGAAGGCAGCCACCUGGUCCACUUCUGACGCUGAGGCGCGAAAGCGUGGGGAGCAAACCGGAUUAGAUACCCGAGUAGUCCCUGUCUCUUAUAC
rnacentral:rRNA from 1 species